rnacentral:sRNA from 1 species
AAGGUAACUUUAUCUAUUUAGUUUUUUUUUCUUUUUUAUUAUUAUUUUAUUUUAUUUAAUCCGGUAGAACACUGAAAUGGUAUAGAAUGGACUAUUCUCGAUCCGUAGAAUUGGGUUACCACACGUCUUUCUUCGAGUUUGAAAUUCCUGCCGACUAUUGUGAAUGGAUAGUCAAAUUGUCUGUAUUUCUAACUACUAGAUAAACUAAUUAGAACAAAUUCUAACUUUAUCUAUUUAAUUAUUCUA